rnacentral:rRNA from 1 species
ACGGCUCAGUAACACGUAGUUAAUCUGCCCUUAGGUCAAGGAUACCCUCGGGAAACUGAGGCUAAUACUUGAUAAGAGUAAGAUGCUGGAACGCACUUACUCCAAAACUCGGGCCUAAGGAUGAGACUGCGGCUGAUUAGCUAGUUGGUGGGGUAACUGCCUACCAAGGCGAUGAUCAGUACGGGCUCUUAGCGGAGUUGCCCGUAGAAGGAAUCUGAGGCACUAUUCCUAGCUCUACGGAGUGCAGCAGCAGCGAAUCAUUUACAAUGCACGAAAGUGUGAUAAUGCGAACCAAAGUGCUUUUCUUUUUGAAAAGCUUUUCUCCACUGUAAAAAGGUGGGGGAAUAAGGACUGGGAAAGACUGGUGCCAGCCGCCGCGGUAAUACCAGCAGUUCAAGUCGUGUCCAAUUUUAUUGGGUCUAAAACAUCCGUAGCUUGCAAUUUAAGUCUCUUGUGAAAUCCUAUGUCUCAAGCAUGGGGCUUGCGGGAGAUACUGAAUAGCUAGAGAUCGGUAGAUGUAAGGAGUACACCGGAGGUAGUGGUAAAAUACGUUAAUCUUCGGCGGACUAACAAUGAGCGAAGGCACCUUACAAGGACGAAUCUGACAGUCAGGGAUGAAGGCCAGGGGCGCAAAACGGAUUAGAUACCCGUGUAGUCCUGGCAGUAAACACUGCUCACUAAACAUCGGGCCCUCUUCGGGAGAAUUCGGUGCUGAAGCGAAGGCGAAGAGUGAGCUACCUGGGAAGUAUAGUCGCAAGAUCGAAACUUAAAGGAAUUGGCGGGGGAGCAC